AUUGAACGCUGGCGGCAUGCUUUACACAUGCAAGUCGAACGGCAGCGCGGGCUUCGGCCUGGCGGCGAGUGGCGCACGGGUGAGUAAUACAUCGGAAUGUGCUCCGUAGGGGGGGAUAGCCCGUCCAAAGCCGGAUUAAUACCGCAUACGACCUGCGGGUGCUAGCGGGUGACGGUAAGGCCUCUCGCUCUGGUAGCGGCCGACGCCGGGCUUGCUAGCUGGUGGGGUAAAGGCUUACUUAGGCGAGGAUCCGCAGGUGGUCUGAGAGGACGAGCAGCCGCACUGGGACUGAGACACGGCCAAGAGUCCUAAGGGAGGCAGCAGUGGGGAAUUUGGGACAAUGGGGGCAACCCUGGUCCAGCCGUGCCGCGUGCGAGAAGAAGGCCUUCGGGUUGUAAACCGCUUUUGUUCGGGAAGAAAUCCUCUGGGCUAAUACCCCGGGGGGAUGACGGUACCGGAAGAAUAAGCACCGGCUAACUACGUG
rnacentral:rRNA from 1 species